GGAGAGAGAAAGACGAGACCUGCAGCAGGAAGGAAGAUCGUGCCUGGAGACCACCCGCUGUUCUCAGUGCCAACCCUGCAAAGUUCAGCAGGUCAAACUGAACCCCAGCGGAAAGAGGGUAAGCACGUCGGUAACACUGCUCGCUUUCAUUGUCUCAGCUGCGCGACAUUAAAACCACAUUACAGUGAGCAUUACCAGCGAAAUUCAGCUGAGAGACUGCAAGAGCCCUGCACUUGCUCACGUCGCUGUAGCAGGCAGGGAAGUCACAAAGCCCCGCUCUGCGCCCGCCUCCGCCUCAGCAGCUCCGUGCGGGGUAGCGGGUGCUGGAUGCCCCGGGACAGGCACGGGACAAGCCCAGCAGCACCGCGGCAGCCCGGCACGGCACCGGGAGCCUCGCCCGGCCCCUUGGAGCAAGGCAAGGCAUUGGCUCGAUCAUUUUAAAAAGAUGAUAGACUAGAAAAUCAGCCUGAGCUUGAGACCAACCCAAAUCACGAGUUUCACAGAACUGCCUGAUUUUCAGCAGAAAAUGGUGAGUGUUGAACAACAGAAUUGCUCAGUUCUGUCUAUGCUGUUAGAAACGUAAGCUUGGAUGCCAAGAAAUGUUGCAUUUACAUGGUGACAGCUGAUGUACAUUUGAUUUUAAGCACUUCUUUUGGCAUACAGGAGAAAACAAAGGUUUAAAAAAGCUGUAUUAAACCUCUGUUCAGCAGAACAAAGCUCAGCUAUUGAUGCAAUGUAUUAAGUUUUGGGUGAGAGGUUGGGUCUUUUGGGUAUAUAAAUUGCAGUGUCAGAGCUUUGCUAGCUAGAUGCUAGCCAUCCAGCUGUGUCCUAAACAUAAGGGGAAAAAACACUGAAGCUCACUAACCUGAGAUGUGUAGGUGUGCUAGAUAAAAGGAGGGUGUUCGGACACCCUGAUAAAGUAGUGUCUGGCAGCACUAGCUGAGGACAGUGUUAGCUGUUAGUGAUUGCAACCUUUAAAAGAGAACUUUAUGUUCACUUGAUGUGAACAGGUAGUUCCUGUUCUCUAUUUCAGUGAUUUAUUUUUUUUCCUCCACCCCUUAGUUGGUGAAGGCUAUCACACGCUGAGCUGGUCUCUGUCAGAGUGCCCUGAAGACCAGUGGGAUGCUGUAAAAGGGAGGUAACAUACACACCCCCAUUACCUCCUCACUGCCAGGUGUUCUGGGCACACUUGUGAUUCCAACAGCUUUAGAAGCAAGUUACUUGCUAAGUCUGGCAUCCCAUCGGGAAAACAAGGUGAUGAUAGCCCACUUACAUCAUUCCAAAGAGUCACUGUUGUUUGAAAAACUCAGCAGUAGUUAUCAGAGGGGUUAAGCAUCAACAGCUUCCAUACA
rnacentral:lncRNA from 1 species